UACGUAGGGUGCAAGCGUUAUUCGGAAUUAUUGGGCGUAAAGGGCGCGUAGGCGGCCUGGCAAGUGGAAGGUGAAAUCCCUCGGCUUAACCGAGGAACUGCCCUCCAAACUGCUUGGCUUGAGUCCGGGAGAGGUGAGUGGAAUUCCCAGUGUAGCGGUGAAAUGCGUAGAUAUUGGGAGGAACACCUGGGGCGAAGGCGGCCAGCUGGGCCGUCCCUGACGCUGAGGCGCGAAGGCGUGGGGAGCGAACGGG
rnacentral:rRNA from 1 species